GAUAAAAUAAUAUAGGUUAGGGAAGUUGGCUAAAUAGAUCUAUACCUUCGGGAAAAGGGUUGGUUUGAAGGGAUGGGCAAGGGGUUCUCAGUCCCAAACCUGUCGGCUAUCGGUGGAUAUCUUGAGCUACUCCUGCAACAAUAGUGGGUCACCGCAUAUAGGCUGGGGGACAGACUGGAAACGGUUCCUUCAGAUUCCUUUCCCGUGCAUCGAAUAACCAACUCAGAACUAUACUUACAAGGGGAAUCCUUCUGUUGGAUUAAAAGAAAGAAUUGCGAUUGUCCUGAUGAAUGUUCACGCAAUGUGAUUUCCACCUAUUGCUCUAAUUCUCAAAGUAAAUAAAUUCAACUAGGCGUAGGUAAACAAUGGGAGUAACUAUGACUCUCUUAAGGUAGCCAAAUGCAUCGUCAUCUAAUUAGUGACGUGCAUGAAUGUAUUAAUAAGAUUUCCACUAUCCCUCUCUACUAUCUAGCAAACUCACAACCAAGACAACAGACUUAGCAUAAUCAGUGGGAAAAAAGACCCUGUUGAUGUUGACUCUAGCCUGAUUUUGUGAAAUAACUUGAGAUGUAAGUAUAACUGGGAUCAUAAAGGAGAAUGUGAAAUACCACAAAUUUUAAUGUUAUUUCACUUACUUCGUGAAAUGAAAGUGGGGCACUGACCCUAUUUUUGGACCUAAGGAUCCCUCUACGGGCUGAUCUGGGUGGAAGACAUUGUUUGGUUAGAUGUUUGACCGGGGCAGCAUAUUUGUUGAAUUAUAAUGCAGGUGUCCUAAUCUGAGGUCAAUGAGAACUAAAAUCUCUUGUGGAACAAUAGGUAAAAGCUCAUUUCAUUCUGAUUUCUACAACAAAUAUGAACCAUGAAAGCAUGGCCUAAUGAUCCUUUAGACAUUUGAAAUUUAAAGAUAGAGGUGUUAGAAAAGUUACCAUGGGGAUAAAUGGUUUGUGGCAGCAAAGAGUUCAUAGCGACAUUGCUAUUUGAUACUUCGAUAUCGGCUCUUCAUAUCAUUUUGAAGCAAAAUUCACCAAGUGAUGGAUUGUUCACCCACUAAUAGGGAAUGUAAGCUGGGUUUAGACCAUUGUGAGAAAAGUUAGUUUUACCCUAAUGAUGACAGUGCCAAAAUAGUAAUUCAACGUAGUAUGAGAGGAGCCAUUGAUUCACACAAUUGGUCAUUGCACUUGGCUGAAUAGGUAGUUGGACGAAGCUAUCAUUUGUUAGUUUAUGACUGAAUGCCUCUAAGUCAGAAUCCAGGCUAAAAGCUAUACAUGAGCCCUCUGUCCAUUUGCCUACCCAUAGUAGAGGCCUUAGAAUCUAAGGGCACGUGUUGUUGGCUAAGCCAUCACGGUAAAAGGGUCGCGGUGUCCGCCUUGAAGAACAAUAUUCAUCGAGUGGCAGGUAUAUUCCUUUACAGAUAACUUAAAUAAACAACAGGAUGUUAUAAGUAGCAGGUGGCCUUGCUGCCUUAAAUCCACUGAGAUUCAUCCCUUUGCCGCUCAAGUU
rnacentral:ncRNA from 1 species